rnacentral:lncRNA from 1 species
UCGGGUUCGGGUAUUUAGGGUGCAAAAAAAUCGGGUAUCGAAAUACCCGAUUUUUUAUUUAAUAUAUUUUAAAUUAUUUAGUUAAAUAUAAUUAAAUAAAAAUAUGAAACUAAAAGUGAAAGUGCAAAAGUAACACUUUUAUUUUGCUGUACUGUUAGUCUCUGUUUAAAUUGAAUUGGACUCCGCCGAGCCGCUCCUCUCAAUCCAGAAAUCCGGCGACCCAGCGGCGCCCCUCGCCCGCCCGUCGUCGCCGUUCUCCUCGCCUCGCCAGCCCGCCAUCGCCGUUCUGCUCGCCUCGUCCGCCCGCAGUCGCCCACUCGCUCCCAGCCCCCGCAGUUCCACCGCGACCCUCGCCCAGUCGCCCUAUCGUUCCCGUCGUUCCGCCGCCGCCGAGCUUGUCGCCCUGCAGCAGCCGUGCCGCCUCCGAGCUCCAACAACGUCACACCAGUUCUUCUUCUUCUUCUUCUUCUUCUUUAAUACAAAUUUCCUAUGUCAAUGUUGAAUAAUUGAAUUUGCUGCUUUGAAUAAUUGAAUUUGGUCCUUGAAUUUCACUAUGUCAAUGUUGAAUUUCGGCUGAAUUUGCUGCCCUGCUUUGAAUUGGUUGCCAUGCCCCCUGCAUCAUUUCCUCCUUGUUAUUUGUUGGUUGUCUCUUUGUUGUUUGUUACACGUAGAGGCUCUCUAUGUAUUCGGGUAAUUUAGGGUACCGAAUACCCGAAUCGGGUAUUAGGGUACCCGAUUAAGAAAUCGGGUUCGGGGUCGGGUAUCAGUUUCCGGCCUUAUUCGGGGUUGGAUACCUCGGGUAGGGUACCCGAUCCCGACCCGAUUCCCACCCCUAGAUCUUAUACAUUUCUUCGUUUAUUGUGAAACUCACUUUUCGUCGUUCUAUGUUGGUAAACAUCAGGGAUCUGUCAAUGGCUGACUCUUCCAAGUCCUUGAAACUCCCCAACUCUACUGCUACAGGUAAUUCAACACUCCAGUUAUUCACUACAAAGAAAAACAACAACUAUGCUUAAUUUUCUUUUAAUGAAAGCUGUAAUCUUGUGAUUUUAAGGGCAACAUUUUUAGGGAGUAAAAGAUUUUUGAAAACGAGACGGGUGAUGUUAGGCUUAGGUGCAUGCGUUUGAAAGAAUGCUUCUUGAAAAAUUGGCUGAUGAGUUGCAUAUCUUCUUCCCUAGUUGAAGAGUGGGUAGAUGAUUACUUUUUUAUUUUUAAAUUUUGGGGGGCGUUUAUAUUUGAAUUUCUGAUGUCCUGAUUGCAUAAAAUUUAAAUAAAAUUGAUUUUCAUGUUUAUUGAUUGAUUUGGAAUGGUUAACUCAUUUCAGUUUGGUCUUUUUCUGACAUACGAAGAACUCAAUGCGCCAUUUGGGUGGUAAAGGCUUGUUAAAUUUUGUUGGCUGAAAAGUGGAAAAUAUUGUUUAUGAUAGUUUGAAGUUAACUCUGAUUCAUUGGACUCAUUAUUCUUAUAUAUGUGGUUGUGAUCACAGGGCACAAGAAAAUGAAAGUCAAGAUUAUACGUAUCCUACAUAUGUGUGUGUGUGCAUACAUGCAAUUGGAUAUCUCCAUGGGCGUAUUAGCAUAUUCCAUAAACAGAUUAUAAAUUAUGUCCUUUUACUGGUUAUAGGUCGUAAGGUGUGAUUACCAGGAUUAACUUUUGAGUAAUAUUGUUCUGUAAUUUGUAUAAGUUGAAUAAUCUAAUUUUUUUUUGUGUAAGUUCAAGUCUUUCAUUGUUUCCUUAGUAGUGAAAUACAUUAGUCUCUAACAAUUUUUAUUUAUUUUUUGAGGUAAUGAUAUAAAGGAUUGAGUGAAGUGUUUAUGUUUUCUAUUCUCAUGUAUUCAAAUAUAUUUAGUUGCAACUGCUUCUUUAAUGGAUAUUUAUGACUAAUCGAGGCUAGUUAUAUUGGUAUGUCAGCCAAUAAUAAAAGAAAAAGAUCUAAUCUCUUUCUAUAGUUGUUACAAGUUUG